GACUCUCAGUAAUAGAUAUAUUGUCUCUCGCAUCAAUGAAGAACAUAGCAAAAUAUGGUACUUAGUGUGAAUUGUAAAAACUUGUGAACCAUUGAGUCUUUGAAUGGAAGUUGCGCCCGAAGCCAUUAGGCCGAGGACAGUUAUGGAUGGGCAUCA
rnacentral:rRNA from 1 species